rnacentral:rRNA from 1 species
AGUGAACGCUGGCGGUAGGCCUAACACAUGCAAGUCGAACGGCAGCACAGUAAGAGCUUGCUCUUACGGGUGGCGAGUGGCGGACGGGUGAGGAAUACAUCGGAAUCUACUUUUUCGUGGGGGAUAACGUAGGGAAACUUACGCUAAUACCGCAUACGACCUACGGGUGAAAGCAGGGGAUCUUCGGACCUUGCGCGAUUGAAUGAGCCGAUGUCGGAUUAGCUAGUUGGCGGGGUAAAGGCCCACCAAGGCGACGAUCCGUAGCUGGUCUGAGAGGAUGAACCGGCAACCUUGGAAUGAGGCACGGUCCCAGAUUCUAAGGGAGGGAGCAGGGGGGAAUAUUGGACAAUGGGCGCAAGCCUGAUCCAGCCAUACCGCGUGGGUGAAGAAGGCCUUCGGGUUGUAAAGCCCUUUUGUUGGGAAAGAAAAGCAGCAGGUUAAUACCCCGCUGUUCUGACGGUACCCAAAGAAUAAGCACCGGCUAACUUCGUG